AAAAAUAUACAGAUUUUACUCUUUCUUUUAAAGCUGAAAGAUGAGUUAAAAGAGCGCAUUCAAAAUACAGGAGCUCUGACACUCAAAAUCCUGUUCAAGAACAACCACCCUGACGGCAAACCUCUGGUCAACAGAUCUGCAUUACUUGAGAUCCUUACAAAUUUCCUGAGGAAGCCUGUCACAGCUAAACAGCUGAAAAAACUUCUAUUUCGCCUGCACCUCUCUGACCGAGUGCUUAUCAGUUUUGAGGAGUUUUAUAGUGCCCUGAAAGACCCAGACUCCAAUAAAAGUAACCCCGCAGGUCUUCUUACCAUUCCUCAGACAAUGGCUCUGCUGAGAGGACCUGCAUGCAGCAGGUGAGAUCUUUGUCAUUUGACGUUUUCUGCAAAAGUUCCCGUCCUCAAAUUUGUCAGUCCAUUUCAAUUAAUCGCUGGUAUAAAAUACUAAAAUACUGCGUGUAAAGUGUAAGUUAUCUUCUUGUUCAUUGGACAUUGUCCAAGACAACAUUUGAAUCCACCUACCAGAAUCUAAUGCAACAUGUUAAUGUUAUUGAAGUCUACAAAUACAUUUUAAGAUCAUAUGAUGAUUAUUGAGUCUAAAUUGUAAAAAAAAAAAAAUAAAUUACACACAAACAGUUCUCUAGAAAGAGACAACAGUCCUGGAACAAGAUGUGAACUGCUCACGCUCAAAGUUCAGCAGCAGGGAGUGAGACAGCAGCUCAGAUGCUCAGGGUGGACAGAAAGCAAAAGGAUGAUCAGCAAAGCAGCUUACCGCUCUGUUGCCCCCUCCAUUUCUCCCUCUCUGUACUACUGCAACUAUUGUACCUAACUGUUUAAAGCAUCAGUGCAAUACAAUGAGGCUGUAGAGGGAGUGUGCGAUAGUGUGAAAGUUCAGUUGGUGUGUGUGUGUGUGUGUUAUACUGAUUGCAUAAGACCUGGUCAGACCAAGACACACUCCAGCCGUGAGCAAAAUAAAUGAAAUCUCUGUGACUAAUCUCACACAUUUCUUCCCUCUCUUUCUUACAGACACAUUGACUAUGAGAGUCCAAGUGAGAGAUGGAAAGAUAGGAUGAGAGAAGAAAAAAAAGAAUGAUAAAAAGACAGCAAGAGAGGGAUAAAGAUGAAAGAGCAACAGGAAAAGAAGAGAAAUGUGGCGCACAUAAAAAGUGUGCAAAAGGCAGAUUUAUGGGUCCAUAAGGCUUGAAGAGAAUAAGAAAGGAUAAGUGAAAGAGAUAGAGGGACGUAAUAAAGAAGAUCAUAUGUAUGAUUGACAUUGUGUGUAUGCGUGUGAGAGACCGACAAAGAAAGGACAAACAAAAACAGGACUUUUAAACAAUCUCUGCAAUGUUCUCUCUCACACCCCCACACACUCAGACAAAAAUGAAUGAAAAAAAAAUCAUUUCGGUAACUUACAAAGCGUAGAAAAGAAACCAAAUGAGAAAAGUAUAAUAAACUAUAUUUAAAUGUUUACUAUUUUGAAUUAAGCCAUUUUAUAUAAAUUAAAUAGAUUUUCAGUGUGUCAAUAUUUUGAAUAUUUAAUGAUAUUUAAUGAUUUAAUGAAAAUUUGGGCUCAGGAGGAUUUUUAUUAAUUCUUUAUUUAGAAUUUAAUUCUGCAAGGGUGCAUUAAAAUGAUGAAAAGUGAGAGUAAAGACAUUUGUUUUCUUACAAAAGAUUUACAUUUCAAAUAAAUGGUGCCCUUUUGAACUUUCUAUUCCUCAAAGAAGCAUGAAAAAAAGUGUUUUCCACAAAAUAUUAAGCAGCACAACACUGAUAAUAAGAAAUGUUAAAUCAGCAUAUACGAGUGAUUUCUGAAUCACAGAAUAAAUUGCAUUUUAAAAUUUUAAAAUAUUAAUAUAUAAAAUCUACAAAUAUAUUUCUUAUAUUUAUGUUUCUGUAUUAUUGUAUAUUUGAUCAAACAAAUGCAACCUUAAGAGGCUUUCAAAAAUGUUAAAAAAAAAAAAAAAAAAUCAACCGACCCAAACCUUUAGUACCUUUACUGUAUAAACAUGAAAAACGAAGCUUCUGAUGAGCUGAUUGCCAUUUCUUCUCCUGUAGGUUUCUGGAGAGUAUAGAGGUUUUGUGCAAGUCAGACAGUCUUACUGAAAGCUGGAUUUCUGCCCCUACUAUUUUGAAUUAAGCCAUUUUAUAUAAAUUAAAUAGAUUUUCAGUGUGUCAAUAUUUUGAAUAUUUAAUGAUAUUUAAUGAUUUAAUGAAAAUUUGGGCUCAGGAGGAUUUUUAUUAAUUCUUUAUUUAGAAUUUAAUUCUGCAAGGGUGCAUUAAAAUGAUGAAAAGUGAGAGUAAAGACAUUUGUUUUCUUACAAAAGAUUUACAUUUCAAAUAAAUGGUGCCCUUUUGAACUUUCUAUUCCUCAAAGAAGCAUGAAAAAAAGUGUUUUCCACAAAAUAUUAAGCAGCACAACACUGAUAAUAAGAAAUGUUAAAUCAGCAUAUACGAGUGAUUUCUGAAUCACAGAAUAAAUUGCAUUUUAAAAUUUUAAAAUAUUAAUAUAUAAAAUCUACAAAUAUAUUUCUUAUAUUUAUGUUUCUGUAUUAUUGUAUAUUUGAUCAAACAAAUGCAACCUUAAGAGGCUUUCAAAAAUGUUAAAAAAAAAAAAAAAAAAAAUAAACUAAACCGAAACCCCCACAACACUGAUAAUAAGAAAUGUUAAAUCAGCAUAUACGAGUGAUUUCUGUAAUCACAGAAUAAAUUGCAUUUUAAAUUUUAAAAUAUUAAUAUAUAAAAUCUACAAAUAUAUUUCUUAUAUUUAUGUUUCUGUAUUAUUGUAUAUUUGAUCAAACAAAUGCAACCUUAAGAGGCUUUACAAAAAUGUUAGUAAAAAAAAAAAAAAUACAAACCGACCCCAAACUUUUGACCUUUACUGUAUAAACAUGAAAAACGAGCUUCUGAUGAGCUGAUUGCCAUUUCUUCUCCUGUAGGUUUCUGGAGAGUAUAGAGGUUUUGUGCAAGUCAGACAGUCUUACUGAAAGCUGGAUUUCUGCCCCAGAGUUCAGAAAUAUUCUCAACAAACUCAAACUUCACUUGAAAGAUAAUGAUUUUGAAAAAUUAUGGAAAAGGUUUGAAUUUAUUUAUUUAUGCUUUUAUUCAGUUAUGCAUUUAUAUAAGAUUUAUACCAUCAAAUCAUUAUAUCGAGUUUAAGAUUAUAAUUAUCUAUUAAAAUAAUAAUAAUAAUUAAAAUGCCUAUCUUUUUUAAACAGGUUAGAUGUGGAUGGACUUGGAGCAGUUAAACAGACUAUUUUUCUAAAGAAAUUGGGCUUGAGCAGAAGGAUUGAACCAAACAAUGAGAAAAACUACCACACUUGCAUUACCCCAAAACCUGAGGAGACAAAAGGUAAAGUUACAUGUUAGCUAAUAAUAAUAACAUAUGUAGAAUACCUGUAUCACAAUCAUAAUAGUUUUAUUUAUUUAUUUAUUGGAUUUAUAAAGUAUCCUCAGCUGUCAAUUUACAAAAUAAUCAAUAGUCAAAUUUAUCAAGAGAAGUCAAUUUACAAAAUAAACUCUGCACUAGAACAGCUUGUGUCCA
rnacentral:lncRNA from 1 species